UGGAAACUGCAUAUCUAGAGUGUCGGAGAGGCAAGUGGAAUUCCUAGUGUAGCGGUGAAAUGCGUAGAUAUUAGGAGGAACACCAGUGGCGAAGGCGGCUUACUGGACUGUAACUGACGUUGAGGCUCGAAAGCGUGGGAGCGAACAGGAUUAGAUACCCUGGUAGUCCACGCCGUAAACGAUGAUUACCAGGUGUCGGGUGUCGAAGGACGGCCGGUGCCGCAGCGAACGCAGUAAGUAAUCCACCUGGGGAGUACGUUCGCAAGAAUGAAACUCAAAGGAAUUGACGGGGACUCGCACAAGCGGUGGAGCAUGUGGUUUAAUUCGAAGCAACGCGAAGAACCUUACCCGGCCUUGACAUCCCCCUGACAGUAUCUGUAAUGGAUAUUUCCUUCGGGACAGGGGAGACAGGUGGUGCAUGGUUGUCGUCAGCUCGUGUCGUGAGAUGUUGGGUCAAGUCCCGCAACGAGCGCAACCCCUGCCCCCAGUAGCCAGCAUUUAAGAUGGGCACUCUGGGGGGACUGCCGGGGAUAACCCGGAGGAAGGCGGGGAUGACGUCAAAUCAUCAUGCCCCUUAUGGCCGGGGCUACACACGUGCUACAAUGGCGUAAACAGAGGGAGGCGAGACAGCGAUGUUAAGCGAACCCCAAAAAUAACGUCCCAGUUCGGAUUGCAGCCUGCAACUCGGCUGCAUGAAGCUGGAAUCGCUAGUAAUCGCGGAUCAGAAUGCCGCGGUGAAUACGUUCCCGGGUCUUGCACACACCGCCCGUCA
rnacentral:rRNA from 1 species